UACGAGAGGUCCAAGCGUUAAUCGGAAUCACUGGGCUUAAAGGGUGCGUAGGCGGGCCUGUAAGUGCUUUGUGAAAUCCCAUGGCUCAACCAUGGAAUUGCAGGGCAUACUGCGGGCCUUGAGGAAUCUAGAGGCCGGUGGAACGAUAGGUGGAGCGGUGGAAUGCGUAGAUAUCUAUCGGAACGCCAAAGGUGAAGACAGCCGGCUGGGGAUUUCCUGACGCUGAGGCACGAAAGCGUGGGGAUCAAACAGG
rnacentral:rRNA from 1 species